rnacentral:rRNA from 1 species
GACGAACGCUGGCGGCGUGCCUAAUACAUGCAAGUAGAACGCUGAAGGAGGAGCUUGCUCUUCUGGAUGAGUUGCGAACGGGUGAGUAACGCGUAGGUAACCUGCCUGUUAGCGGGGGAUAACUAUUGGAAACGAUAGCUAAUACCGCAUAACAGUAGAUGUUGCAUGACAUUUGCUUAAAAGGUGCAAUUGCACCACUACCAGAUGGACCUGCGUUGUAUUAGCUAGUUGGUGGGGUAACGGCUCACCAAGGCGACGAUACAUAGCCGACCUGAGAGGGUGAUCGGCCACACUGGGACUGAGACCCGGCCCCGACUCCUUCGGGAGGCAGCAGUAGGGAAUCUUCGCCAAUGGACGGAAGUCUGACCGAGCAACGCCGCGGGGGUGAAGAAGGUUUUCGGGUCGUUAAGCUCUGUUGUAAGGGAAGAACGAGUGUGGGAGUGGAAAGUUCACACUGUGACGGUAUCUUACCAGAAAGGGACGGCUAACUACGUG